rfam:Amborella trichopoda AMTR_V1.0_contig_24899, whole genome shotgun sequence.
UUGAGCCGUAUGCGGGGGAACUCGCACGUGAGGUUCUUAGGGGGGGAGAGCUUGUAGGAACCAUCCCAUCCCAAU